rnacentral:lncRNA from 1 species
AUGCGGUGCCGCGCUGCACAAUGCAAUGCAUUGCUGUGUUGUGUUGUGCGGUGCUGUGCCACGUGGUGCUGUGCCCUGCCAUGCUGCACAAUGCAGCGUAUUGCUGUGUUGUGUUGUGCGGUGCUGUGCCACGUGGUGCUGUGCCCUGCCAUGCUGCACAAUGCAGCGCAUUGCUGUGUUGUGUUGUGCGGUGCUGUGCCACGUGGUGCUGUGCCCUGCCAUGCUGCACAAUGCAGCGCAUUGCUGUGUUGUGUUGUGCGGUGCCCUGCGGUGCUGCACAGUGCAGCGUGUCGCUGUGUUGCACGGUGCCGGGCCGGGCCGGGCCGCACGGUGCAGCGUAUUGCUGUGCCGUGCAGUGCUGCGCCAUGCGGUGCCAUGCUGUGCUGUGCCGCGCAAUGCAGCGUAUUGCUGUGCAGUGCAGUGCUGUGCCAUGCGGUGCUGCAAGGUGCAGCGUCUUGCUGUGUUGAGCCAGGCCGGGUGGCGUGGGGCUGUGCCAUGCCACGCCACACCGUGCCGUGCCACGCCGUGCCGUGCUGCGCUGCUGGUGUCGCUUUGCGCUGCGCCACGCCACGGCGAUCCGUCCUGUGCUGGGCUGUGCCGCGCAGUGCCGGGCCGUGCCACCCGCAGGCGAGGGAGAGGGGCCGAGCCCUGCGGCCGCCUCCGCGGGGGUUUCUCUCCGUGCUCCCGCUUCGUCCCCUGGGUGGCGGGCUUGCCCGGGGCGCGCGUUUUGGGGUGCGCGCCUGCGGAGCUGGCGCGGCCCUGCACGCGGCCAGCGCGGCGCGGUGCGGUGCCGUGUGGGAGCGCUGCCGCCGUGACCGGCGGGUGAACGUCGCAGGGUGCGAGGUGCUCGGCGCGCGCGGUGCGGGGCGCACGGCACCGUGCAGGGUGCAGGGCCCAGGGGGCAGGGUGCGCGGCGUGGGGGGCAGGGUGCGGAGSACGGGGUGUGUGGGGUGUGGGGCGCAUGGCAUGGGGUGCAGGGUGUAUCGGGGUGCAGAGCACGUGGCACGGGGUGCAGAGCGCGUAGCACAGUGGGUGGCGUGGGGCGCGGGGUGCACGGCGUGGGGUGCAGGGGGAGCCGGGCCCCUCCUGCAGCGUUGUCCCCGCGCCCGGGGCAUGUGCGCGGCGCCCGCCGCCGGGGUCCGGCCCGAGCCGAGCCGAGCCGAGCCGAGGCGGCACCCGAGCGGAGCCGAGCGGAGCCGAGCGGACCCGAGCCGA